GCUCUAGUAGCUUAGUUUAAAAGCGUCGGUCUUGUAAUCCGAAGAUCGGGGGUUAGAUUCCCCCCUGAAGCC
rnacentral:tRNA from 4 species